rnacentral:lncRNA from 1 species
CCGUCCCAAAUCCGCCCCGUCAUGAUCCGCCGCGAAAUUAUUUAUAUUUUUAAAAAAUAUCCCUAAAAAUAAUGUAUUUAUAAAAAAGUUUAAAAUACAAAUAAGUUCGUGCUCUGAUUUCUCAUGUAUUUGAAACUUUUGAAUUUUGUUUCGAAUUGUGAUUGAUAUUUUUGAUAUUUAUAAUUGAUGUUGUUAAUUAUAUAUAUAAUAUUAUUAAAAUUUAUUAUUUUAUAUUUUACAAAAUAUUAAUAAUAUUAUAAUUUUGUAAAAAAUAACAAUUGACUGGGCGGAUUCAAAGCGCCGGCGGGAGGAGGUUUACGACGCGGGGCAGAUUAUAUGGAAUAUAUUUUUUAACCCGUUAUGAAUUCGGGGCGAGAGACGGGGCAAAAUUUU